AAUUCAUAUUGAGGACAUCUUCUUUGCAAGUCUUUGAAUCUUCUCCAUGCAACACAAAGAGAUUCCCCUUCUUGUUGGGUGAAAUUUGAAAUUUCAUUGACCAACU